UGCUGUGUGUGCUGCUCUGGCAGCGUGGGCUUCCCCGAGGUGCGGCUCUGCCAGACCUGCUGAGAAGACACAGCUGUUCCCCUGGGGUUGUCUGGCGAGAUGCUGCCCCUCUCCAGUUCUGACGAGCUGAUUUUCUUUGUGAAUGGGAGAAAGGUGGUGGAGCAGAAGCCCGACCCUGAGGUCAGCCUGCUGUUCUACUUGCGGAGAGUCUUGCGUCUCACAGGCACGAAAUUCGCCUGUGGAGAAGGUGGCUGUGGCGCCUGCACCGUCAUGGUGUCCAGAUACAACGCCAUGAGCAAGGAGAUCCACCACUACCCAGCCACUGCGUGCCUGGUGCCCGUGUGCUCUCUGCACGGGGCGGCUGUCACCACCGUGGAGGGCGUGGGGAGCAUCAGAAGCAGGAUCCACCCAGUGCAGGAGAGACUUGCCAAGUGCCACGGCACGCAGUGCGGGUUCUGCAGCCCCGGCAUGGUGAUGUCCAUCUACACACUGCUUCGGAACCACCCGAACCCGACGCCGGAGCAGGUCACCGAGGCCCUGGGAGGUAAUUUGUGCCGCUGCACUGGAUACCGGCCGAUUGUAGAAAGUGGAAAAACCUUCUGUGUGGAGCCCACUGCCUGCCCAGCAAAGGGGUCGGGAAGGUGCUGCCUGGAGCAAGAGGAGGAGGAGGAGCCAGGCUCCCCACACCUGCGGGAGAAGAUGUGCACCAAGCUGUACGACAGGGACGAGUUCCAGCCACUGGACCCCUCCCAGGAGCCCAUCUUCCCCCCGGAGCUGAUAAGGAUGGCUGAGGACCCCAGCAAGAGGAGGCUGACGUUCCAGGGUGCGAGGACCACCUGGCUUGCCGCCGUGACCUUGCAGGACCUCCUGCAGCUGAGAGCCGACUUCCCCCACGCCCCGCUGGUCAUGGGGAACACGACCGUGGGCCCCGACAUCAAGUUCAAAGGUGAAUUCUACCCGGUGUUCAUCUCCGCUGCUGGGCUUCCGGAGCUCCGCCUGGUGAAUUCCGAGGACGGUGGGGUGAUCGUAGGCGCGGGACACAGCCUGGCCCAGCUGAGUGACGCCCUGCGGUCCAUUGUUUCCGAACAACCGCCCGAGAAGACGCAGACCUGCCGCGCGCUGCUGACGGCCCUGAGGACGCUGGCCGGGGCGCAGAUCAGGAGCAUGGCGACUUUAGGAGGACAUGUGGCGACCCGGGCUACCAUUUCCGACCUGAACCCCAUCCUGGCAGCAGGGAAGGCGACCAUCCACCUGAUAUCCAAGGAAGGGGAGCGGCAGAUCCCUCUGGACAGUGCCUUCCUCGAGGGGUCCCCCGAGGCCAGCCUGCAGCCAGGAGAGGUCGUGCUGUCUGUCUCCAUCCCCUACUCCACUCAGUGGCAGUUCGUGUCGGGGCUCCGGCAGGCCCAGCGGCAUGAGAACUCCAUGGCUAUCGUCAACGCCGGGAUGAGCGUGCAGUUUGAGGACGGCACCAGCACCAUCCAAGACCUGCAGCUGUUCUACGGCGGCGUGGGGCCCACGGUGGUCUCCGCGAGCCGCACCUGCAGGCAGCUGGUUGGCAGGCAGUGGGACGACCAGACACUGGGGGAGGCCUGCCAAGGGAUCCUGGGCGAGGUCCACCUGCCCCCCAACGCCCCCGGUGGCCAGGUGCAGUUCCGGCGCACGCUGCUGCUCAGCCUGCUCUUCAAGUUCUACCUGAGCGUGCGGCGGGGACUGAGCAGACUGGAUCCACAGAAGUUUCCUGAUAUCCCAGAACAGUUCAUGAGUGCGCUGGAAGAUUUCCCCAUAGUAACGCCCCAAGGAAUCCAGAUGUUCCAGUGCGUGGACCCCCGCCAGCCCCUGCGAGACCCAGUCGGCCACCCAGUCAUGCACCAGUCGGCCCUGAAGCACGCCACGGGGGAAGCGGUGUUUGUGGACGACAUGCCUCCCCUGGACCGAGAACUGUCCCUGGCCGUGGUCACCAGCACCAGGGCUCACGCCAAAGUCACAUCCAUUGACACCGCAGAAGCCCUGGCGCUCCCAGGAGUGGUCGCGGUGAUAACAGCAGAGGACGUUCCCGGGAAGAACAACCACCAGGGAGAGAUUUUCUACGCACAGAGUGAGGUGAUCUGCGUGGGUCAGAUCGUGUGCACCGUGGCCGCCGACACCUACGCGCACGCCAGGGAGGCAGCUAAGAGAGUGCAGAUCGAGUACGAGGACAUAGAGCCCAGGAUCGUCACAGUCGAGCAAGCCCUAGAGCACAAUUCGUUUCUUUCUCCUGAGAGGAAAAUCGAGCAAGGAAAUGUGGAGUGGGCCUUUAAACACGUGGACCAAAUCAUUGAAGGCGAGGUACACGUGGAGGGCCAGGAGCACUUCUACAUGGAGACGCAGAGCAUCCUGGCCAUCCCGGGGGACGAGGACAAGGAAAUGGUGUUGCACCUGGGCACCCAGUUUCCCACCCACGUGCAGGAGUUCGUGGCCGCAGCUCUAAAUGUCCCGAGGAGCAGAAUCGCCUGCCACAUGCGGAGAGCUGGAGGAGCAUUUGGGGGCAAGGUGACCAAGCCGGCCCUGCUGGCCGCCGUCGCUGCUGUGGCCGCCCACAAGACUGGCCACCCAAUCCGGUUCGUGCUGGAGCGGGGCGAUGACAUGCUGAUCACGGCCGGCCGCCAUCCACUCCUCGGAAGAUACAAGAUCGGCUUCAUGAAGAGUGGGCUGAUCAAGGCUGCGGACGUGCAGUUCUACAUCAAUGGUGGCUGCACCCCGGAUGAAUCCCAGCUGGUGCUGGAGUUCAUCGUGCUGAAAUCGGAAAACGCAUAUUACAUCCCCAACUUCCGGUGCCGGGGCAGGGCCUGCAAAACAAACCUCCCGUCCAACACUGCCUUCCGGGGCUUCGGCUUCCCCCAGGCCACCGUGGUGGUGGAGGCCUACAUGGCCUCGGUGGCAGCUCACUGUGGCCUGCUCCCUGAAGAGGUGAGAGAAAUAAACAUGUACAAGAGGACGAGUCAGACAGCCUACAAGCAGACAUUCAACCCUGAGCCCCUGCGCCGGUGCUGGGUGGAGUGUCUGGAGCAGUCCUCUUUCCACGCCCGGAAACAGGCUGCUGAGGACUUCAACGGGUGCAGCUACUGGAAGAAGAGAGGGCUCGCUGCGGUCCCCAUGAAGUUCACCAUCGGCAUCCCCAUAGCCUACUACCAUCAGGCAGCGGCUCUGGUCCACAUCUACCUGGAUGGCUCAGUCUUGCUGACUCACAGCGGCUGUGAACUUGGACAAGGCCUGCACACCAAAAUGAUCCAGGUGGCCAGCCGGGAGCUGGGCAUCCCCACAUCCUACAUCCACCUCUCGGAAACCAGCACCGUGACGGUGCCCAACGCUGUCCUCACUGCAGGCUCCAUGGGCACAGAUGUCAAUGGGAAGGCCGUGCAGAAUGCCUGCCAAACCCUCAUGGGCCGUCUUCAGCCCGUCAUCAGGAGAAACCCUCGAGGGACCUGGGAGGAGUGGAUCAAAAAGGCCUUCGAGGAAUCCAUCAGCCUCUCGGCCACCGGAUAUUUCAGAGGCUACCAGACCAACAUGGACUGGGACAGGGAGCAGGGCGACGCCUUCCCCUACUACGUGUACGGAGCAGCCUGCACCGAGGUCGAGGUCGACUGCCUCUCCGGGGCCCACAAGCUCCUGAGGACUGACAUCUUCAUGGAUGCCGCCUUCAGCAUCAACCCCGCCGUAGACAUCGGGCAGAUCGAGGGGGCCUUUGUCCAGGGAAUGGGACUGUACACCACGGAAGAACUGAAAUACUCCCCAGAAGGCAUGCUGCAUUCUCGGGGCACAAAUGACUACAAAAUCCCCACCGUCUCCGAGAUACCAGAAGAGUUCCACGUCACCCUAGUGCACUCCCGAAACCCCAUAGCCAUCUACUCCUCCAAGGUCAGCCCCAGAUCUUGCAUCUCGGCCCUGCGCCUCCUCAGGGCCUGGGCGAGGCGGGGAUGUUCCUGGGCAGCUCGGUGCUGUUCGCCAUCGCCGAUGCCGUGGCCGCCGCCCGCAGGGAGAGGGGCCUGGACAGGACCUUCACCCUGAGCAGCCCGGCGAGCCCAGAGUGGAUCCGGAUGUCGUGCGUGGACCAGUUCACCGACAUGAUUCCCUGGGAUGACCCUUCAGCGUUUACACCGUGGGCCACCCGCGUGUCCUAACCCUGGGUUUUCUAGGAAAUGCGGCGACCCGGUCGCCCUUAGAGUCUCAGACCAGCGCAAAUAGAGUGACUUAACUGGCAAGGGUGAUUUUAGCAGUUUUUAAUUAUUCUGUGGUUUAGGUUACUGCAUGAUUAUGUUUUAUGAUGCAAAUUUUUACGAGUGUAAUAAAACUUAGAAAUUCUAAUUUUAAGCCAAGUGUGGUGGUGCAUACCUGUCAUCCCAGUGCUGUGGGAGGCUGAGGCAGGAGGAUUGAAAGUUCAAGCCCAGCUUCAGCACCUUAGCAAUUGGUGAGAUCCUGUCUCGAAAUAAAAGAUGUUAAAAGGGCUAUGGAUGUAGCACAGUGCAAAGACUCUGGCUCAAUGUCCAGUGCCGUAAAAAACAAUCUGAUUUUGUUAGCAUCAUCCUGAAAAUCUACAGCAUUGUUAUUUUGAAGCGUAAUAGUUCCUCUUAGCCUGGAACAGACUCUGUGUGAUUUGUUCUUCAGAAACCUGCUCAAGGUUCUGUAAAAGUGCCCACCCCGAAAUUCUCAGGACCCGGUCCCCCAUACCCGCAGUGAGCUAUUAGCACCAAUGUGCAGCGCUCACAAGUCCCGUGUGUAAGUGUGCCCACGUUCCGAUUCCCAGGCACUCUGGCGGAUCUCUGCAGUGGAGCAGCACUCAGCGCUGUGCAGGGUGGCGCUGCUGACACCACAGUUCAGCCCCCUCCGGCCUGAGCCUCAGCCACCCCCAGCCGGUGCACAGGAGCCUCCAGGAGCCUCGAACGGUGGUCCCCAAGGUGCCUGAGGGAGGCUGGCCCAGGUGCUGGGGGCUGGAGAGCUGGGGCCUGGCAAUCGGGCUCAGAGUGCAGAAGGGAUCGCUGCCCAAGGGCAGGCUGACCUGACACAGGUGUGGUCAUCUGACCCCGAGUCUGAAACUGAGUCAGAAUAAACCUCUCGUCCUCACAAAGUGCCCAGCCCCCGGGCAUUGCCUUGAAGUGCCACAAAACAGACUGAACCCCCAAUGCCCCCUCGUCCGCUGUGGCCGCACACACACCGAUGGAGACCUCAGAUGACUCUGGGGCCCUUGCCUCGGCCUCAAGUCGGAGGUGGAGCCGGGGUUUCUCCCCUUGGCCAUCGAAGUGGCAGAGUUCUCGACGCCUGCUCGGUUCUUCCCGGCUGUCCUGCCUCACGGGCUCCUGCAGAAACGCAGCCUCGUGGUGGAGAAGACGGCAGUCCGGGCAAGGCUUGAAAACACAGUGCUGGCCAGGCCUGCAAGCCUCCCUGUGGAUGUGACUGGUGGGGAACGUGUGUAGCAGCACUCAUGCGUCAGUGAGGCCAGAGAGGAGAAAGCCAGCAGGAGAAAGCAAGGGGUCCUUCCUGAGAGCAGGCUCAGCAGUCAGCGUCCGCCACUGUAAGAGGGGUGUGUGUGUGUGUGUGUGUGUGAAUUCCCUGGUAAUCUGCACCCUAACUCGCACACACUGCGUCAGACAGAACGACGCCCGGCGCGCUGGUAGGUUUCCUGCAGUCACGUGGGACUGCACCACAUCCGUGCGUUAAUCACAGAAGCGCUAUGCUUCGCAGGCGGGCAGGGCAAGGCCUCAGUGAGGCAGAAAUCGCACUCGUCAUCCCAGCAGUCUUGUCAUUAACUGAGGACAGGAAACGGGGAAGAGCUCACAAAAGUAGCACGCAUUAGGGCCGGGAAUUUGGUUCAGUGGUUCCACCGCCUGCCUCUGAAGCACAAGGUCCCAAGUUCGAUCCCCGGUACCAAAAAAAAAAAAAAAAAA